AGAAUCAACGCUGGCGGCGCGCUUAACACAUGCAAGUCGAACGAGAAAGGGGAGCAAUCCCCGAGUACAGUGGCGUACGGGUGAGUAACACGUGGGUAAUCUAUCUUUUAGUGUGGAAUAACCCUGGGAAACCGGGGCUAAUACCGCAUAAGCCCGAGAGGGGAAAGUCGCAAGACGCUGAAAGAGGAGCCCGCGGCCGAUUAGCUAGUUGGGAGGGUAAGAGCCUACCAAGGCCCAGAUCGGUAGCCGGCCUGAGAGGGCACACGGCCACACUGGCACUGAAACACGGGCCAGACUCCUACGGGAGGCAGCAGUGGGGAAUCUUGCACAAUGGGGGAAACCCUGAUGCAGCGACGCCGCGUGAGCGAUGAAGCCCUUCGGGGUGUAAAGCUCUUUCGGCAGGAACGAUAAUGACGGUACCUGAAGAAGAAGCUGCGGCUAACUACGUGCCAGCAGCCGCGGUAAUACGUAGGCAGCAAGCGUUGUUCGGAGUUACUGGGCGUAAAGAGUGUGUAGGCGGUGCUCUAAGUUUGGUGUGAAAUCUCCCGGCUCAACUGGGAGGGUGCGCCGAAAACUGGAGUGCUUGAGUAUGGGAGAGGAAAGCGGAAUUCCUGGUGUAGCGGUGAAAUGCGUAGAUAUCAGGAGGAACACCCGCGGUGUAGACGGCUUUCUGGACCAUCACUGACGCUGAGACACGAAAGCGUGGGUAGCAAACAGGAUUAGAUACCCUGGUAGUCCACGCCGUAAACGUUGGGCACUAGGUGUGGGACCUUAUCAACGGGUUCCGUGCCGCAGCUAACGCAUUAAGUGCCCCGCCUGGGGAGUACGGUCGCAAGGCUAAA
rnacentral:rRNA from 1 species